GCGGCUUACUGGACUGAAACUGACGCUGAGUCACGAAAGCGUGGGGAGCAAACAGGAUUAGAUACCCUGGUAGUCCACGCUGUAAACGAUGAGCGCUAGGUGUCG
rnacentral:rRNA from 1 species